GGGGAAUCAAACCUUGGCCCAUCCUAGGUCAGCCACGUGCAAGGCAAAUGUCUUACCACUGUGCUAUCCCUCUGACCUUAAGUGUUUUAUUUUAAAUGAGGUCUUCUAAUUCUUCAAAAUACUUAGAAGGCAAAGUUGACCAUUGGUAGAUUGAAAGCCAUCACACAGUGCUUAGUGCACACAAGUGUUUAUAUUUUUUUUAAAUAAACUGCCUCUUCUACUUAAUUGAAUUGUAACUACAUGUACAGUAUUGAUUGGAAAUGAAGGGGUCAGAAAAAAAAGAGCAAAAAAGGUACUUUCUGUGAACAGGCAUUUUUGUAAUAGUUCUUGAUUCCUGAUGUGUUAUAUUUUGUAGCAAUUUAGAACCGAAGUGGCUAGCAUCACUGCUAUUGUGCGAGUUCUUAUUCAUAAAAUGCUAGUAAAUAUGCUUGAGAAUAUGAAAUGGGGACAUUCCAAUAGAAAUGAAAGAAAAUUAUUCCACAUCACCUGUAACCCUUCCCCCAACUUCCUGGUUUUUUAACUUGGUGUGUAAAAGCCCACCUGGAUUACAAAGAAAAUUGUCUAGCCUUGGGGCUAGGGAGAGAAAGGGCAUGGCUUAGGCAGCACAGGGCAAUGAGAGCACAUGGCAGAGAAAGGCCAUGAGCAAUAAAGCAAGCUGACUCCAAUGAA